UGUUAAUAGCAUAUUCAUUUGACGUUUAGCUGCAGAAGAAGCACCGGCUAACUCCGUGCCAGCAGCCGCGGUAAUACGGAGGGUGCGAGCGUUAAUCGGAAUUACUGGGCGUAAAGCGCAUGCAGGUGGUUUGUUAAGUCAGAUGUGAAAGCCCGGGGCUCAACCUCGGAAUUGCAUUUGAAACUGGCAAACUAGAGUACUGUAGAGGGGGUAGAAUUUCAGGUGUAGCGGUGAAAUGCGUAGAGAUCUGAAGGAAUACCGGUGGCGAAGGCGGCCCCCUGGACAGAUACUGACACUCAGAUGCGAAAGCGUGGGGAGCAAACAGGAUUAGAUACCCUGGUAG
rnacentral:rRNA from 1 species